rnacentral:rRNA from 1 species
UACGUAGGGUGCAAGCGUUAAUCGGAAUACUGGGCGUAAAGCGUGCGCAGGCGGUGAUGUAAGACAGAUGUGAAAUCCCCGAGCUCAACUUGGGAACUGCAUUUGUGACUGCAUCGCUGGAGUGCGGCAGAGGGGGGAUGGAAUUCCGCGUGUAGCAGUGAAAUGCGUAGAUAUGCGGAGGAACACCGAUGGCGAAGGCAAUCCCCUGGGCCUGCACUGACGCUCAUGCACGAAAGCGUGGGGAGCAAACAGG